AAUCCUCAUCCUUACUCCAGGGUUAUUGUUGUCCAUACUUUCCCUGGCAUUAAUUGAGGAUACAACAACUGCUUUGUUUAGUAGCUGGAAAGUUGUUUUCCAAGCGACUGAAUGUAAGCAUACAUA